rnacentral:lncRNA from 1 species
UCUGUCUUGUUCUUGCUCCCUCUCUCCCUCUUCCUUUGGCUUCAUGUGGCCAUUUGUCACUCUUUGGAUGUUUUUUCCUUUAUCGAGAUGUUUUCUCUGGGAAUGUUUCCCGCCAACGCAAGCCCAUUAACUUCCAGAGUUCAGCUGACAGCCUGGACUCCAAGACCCGUUGCCUUGUGACACUGAGCGCUUUCGAGAUGCUGGAAUUGGUUGGUAAAAUAACCUAGUCACAUGCCUAAGAGGAAAAAGGAAUACUAUUUCAGGAUUCACGAUGGGACUGCGCUUGCCCGUGCUCUGCCCUAUGAAACUCACUGGAAGAGCAUCCCACACGCUGGGAUGGUUGAGCAACUCGACUCCUUUACACAGAGGAACAACGAGGUAGAGCAGGUAAGCCUGACUGUGAGGCCCAGGCCAGCCCCUGUGGAGCAAUAGGACAGGGCUUGCAGGGAGCUCUCGUCCCUUGGUGUUUGCCAGGUUCCCGUGGGGAGCCAGGCAGAGCUACCUGGCUCGCUUGGGUUCGGCUGGCUGUCCCUUCUGGCCACCUCUGAGGUCACUGGUCCCCUUGUUGGUGAGGAACUUGAGGCUACACCUUGGAGGAGCAUCUGGUCAUGGAUGAUCUAUCUGAAGGCUGAGGACACUGGAGGAUAUGAGGGCCCUGGGCUGGGACAUGCAUCACUCCGGAGUACGGCCAGGGCUCUUCUACACCAUCGCUGCAUCCAGGAGCACCAGGUAACCCGGUCCCACGAGCACAUAGAUCUCCACGCCUCAUAAUUCCUUUGGUUCCCGUGGGGCAGUGAGGGAGCCCCAGGAUCCCCUGGUGGUUUUGGCUCUCCCCCACUGAGAUUCACCCCUCUACUCCUCCUUGCUCUUAGGUCCUGCACGGCAAAGCAGAAGCGGUCCCAGAACAUCCCCAGCGAUGGACAUAAUGCGCAAUUCCUUAUGCUAGCUGAGUGCGUGGCCAUUGCUGCCUCACAGUUGGCCACAAGGAAUCAGAGGACACCUUCAAGAUGCCCAAGGGCACUUAGUGAGCUCCUGAGCAAGCCACUGCAGAAAAGGGGCGUAGGGAGGCUUUCGGGCAGCAGCAGCUUGGUGAUUUAAUCGACUUCUGCCGGCUUUUUCCCAGGCAUAUCCUGUCCGGCUUGCAUUGAACUGGCUGCCAGCGAGGCGAGUCAG